AAUUAUUUUAAAUUUUUGGUACGAAAAAGAAGAUUUCCCGGUCGUCUUCAAUCUUCAUCUUCUUCAUUUCCAUGUGAAGGGUUUCAUAAUCGAGUACAGAUCGAGUAAAAUUUGAAGUAAAUUUUCGCCAAUUUCCAUCUUGAGAGAUGAAAAAUCUGACAGGAAAUCGAAGGAUUUGAUGUAAAUUUGGAUUAAAGGUUGCUGACUACAUCGCCACUGUCAUGUAUGGGACCAACAUUCAGAAUUUGGAUAGGGAUUCCAAGCUGUAACCAAUUGGGCAUUGUCUGUUUGCAGUUCAACUGUUGGGUGAGAAAAACUGAAGCCUCGACGGGUCGUGAAGGGAUCAAAGUUGAUGUAAUCUAGGAUUUCUUUAUGCGUAUACAGUAUAUUUUGGUACUUGUAGUUCUUUUAUAUAUAUAUAUAUAUAUAUAUAUACUAAUUGUAGAGAAUUUUUCAUCUCUACUUAACUUUUCCCGGUAGAAUUUUCUAGUACAGUUUAUGGUAUUUACCUUUCCCCUGUUUAUCUUUGUCGAU